rnacentral:pre_miRNA from 1 species
GUGCUACUCUCUCCGUUCGGAAUUACUUGUCUCGAAUAUGGAUGUAUCUAAACUAAAAUACAUCUAGGUACAUUCAUUUCUGUGACAAGUAAUUCCGAACGGAGGGAGUACUUC